AUUGAACGCUGGCGGCAUGCUUUACACAUGCAAGUCGAACGGUAACAGGUUAAGCUGACGAGUGGCGAACGGGUGAGUAAUGCAUCGGAACGUGCCCGAUCGUGGGGGAUAACACUUCGAAAGAAGUGCUAAUACCGCAUACGAUCUGAGGAUGAAAGCGGGGGACCGUAAGGCCUCGUGCGAUCGGAGCGGCCGAUGUCAGAUUAGGUAGUUGGUGGGGUAGAGGCUCACCAAGCCGACGAUCUGUAGCUGGUCUGAGAGGACGACCAGCCACACUGGGACUGAGACACGGCCCAGACUCCUACGGGAGGCAGCAGUGGGGAAUUUUGGACAAUGGGCGCAAGCCUGAUCCAGCAAUGCCGCGUGCAGGAAGAAGGCCUUCGGGUUGUAAACUGCUUUUGUACGGAGCGAAAAGGCUCCCUCUAAUACAGGGGGCUCAUGACGGUACCGUAAGAAUAAGCACCGGCUAACUACGUGCCAGCAGCCGCCGUAA
rnacentral:rRNA from 1 species